GAUGAACGCUGGCGGCGUGCCUAAUACAUGCAAGUCGAGCGAACGGACGAGAAGCUUGCUUUUCUGAUGUUAGCGGCGGACGGGUGAGUAACACGUGGAUAACCUACCUAUAAGACUGGGAUAACUUCGGGAAACCGGAGCUAAUACCGGAUAAUAUUUUGAACCGCAUGGUUCAAAAGUGAAAGACGGUCUUGCUGUCACUUAUAGAUGGAUCCGCGCUGCAUUAGCUAGUUGGUAAGGUAACGGCUUACCAAGGCAACGAUGCAUAGCCGACCUGAGAGGGGGAUCGGCAACACUGGAACUGAGACACGGUCCAGACUCCUACGGGAGGCAGCAGUAGGGAAUCUUCCGCAAAGGGCGAAAGCCUGACGGAGCAACGCCGCGUGAGUGAUGAAGGUCUUCGGAUCGUAAAACUCUGUUAUUAGGGAAGAACAUAUGUGUAAGUAACUGUGCACAUCUUGACGGUACCUAAUCAGAAAGCCACGGCUAACUACGUG
rnacentral:rRNA from 1 species